AAUAGUGUAUUUGUGUGUGUGUAUAUGUGUGUAUAUAUGUGUGUGUGUGUAUAUAUACAUACACACACACAUGCAUACACUAUUGAAUACACACACAC
rnacentral:miRNA from 1 species